rnacentral:rRNA from 1 species
GUCCUUCUGUUUGUUUAGAAGGUCUAGCCUGCCCAGUGAAAUAUUUAACGGCCGCGGUAUACUGACCGUGCAAAGGUAGCAUAAUCAUUAGUCUUUUAAUAGGAGGCUGGAAUGAAAGGCUCAACGAAACAUUAACUGUCUCAUUUAUAUUUUUAUAAUUUAACUUUUAAGUUAAAAGGCUUAAAUUUAAUUGAAGGACGAGAAGACCCUAUAGAGCUUUACAUUAAUUAUUUUAAUUUUAUCUUGUUUUAUAAUUUUUUAUUAAUUUAAUUGUUGUUUUGUUGGGGUGACAAGAAAUAUAUAUUUAACUUUUAUUAUUUUAUUUACAUUAAUUUAUGAUAUAUAGGAUCCAUUAAUAUUGAUUAUUAGUUUAAGUUACCUUAGGGAUAACAGCGUAAUCUUCUUUCAAAGUUCAAAUUUAUAAGAAGGCUUGCGACCUCGAUGUUGGAUUAAGAUUAUAAUUAGGUGCAGCAGCUUAAUUAAUAGGUCUGUUCGACCUUUAAAUUCUUACAUGAUCUGAGUUCAGACCGG